rnacentral:lncRNA from 1 species
AGGUGAGAACAAGCAGAAGCUUCCAAGUAUGGCGCCGGAGGCAUUGGAGGCAACCGGGGUAACGGUGGCAAAGGUGGAAGCCAAGGCAAAGGUGGAAGAAGCCUUGCCGGUGGUGCUGGGGCAACCACUGGGCUAGUCGACCUUGGGCAGAAGGGCAUAGGCUGUGCCGGCUGAGAAAGCAAAGGAUCUACUGUGUACAAUUCCAUAUCAAACAUCCGAAACAUUAAUCUUGGGUACAUGGCUGGACCAGCUGCUGCUCCACAGCCUGAAGAUCCUUGUGCAUUGCCUGAAACUUGGGCAUAACAGCCACUCAAAUCUGGGGUGCCCUCAAGCUUUAUAGAGUAACUGCCAAGCCAAUUUGUUGUUUCUUCUCUCCACAUUGUGAAUUGGUCAUCACUUCCUGGACAUGCAAUUCCCACUUUUAUUCCUGCAUAUAUAUAGUUUUCAGUCAUUAGUUUCUUCCUCACGACAAUCAUAACAACAACAACGACGACAACAAACUAAACCUUUUCCUAAAUAAAUAUGGAGCGGGCUAUAUGAAUCUUUGUUCGUCACCCCGUUCUACUAAAAGUGGGAUCUACUCGCAGAACCAACUAGCAUGCUUGGCUAAGCUUAUAUAAAUAACCCAAAGUUAUUUUUGACUAACUUUGUGUUUUUAAAACAUGUUUGGAUAAAGUCCUUUUUUCUUAUUUCUAAGUAACAAGGUUACUUAUUUGAAACAUAACUUCUACAUUUCUGUCUUAAGUAAGUAACGUUCUUAUUUCAAUGCCGAUCAUAAAAUUACUUAUUUUGAUAGUCAUUUACCAUACCCAUUUAAUUGUUAGUUUAUUUUUUCAAAUACGAUUAAAAAUUGAGAACGUAAAAAUAAACGAAACUAAAAAGACUUGGAGUGGGUUUGGAGAAUCUGAGGGCAAAGACUAAGUUCCCCAUCCGCACAGUGUUUGCUUACUUCCCAAAUUUGGUAAAUAUUAGAAACUUAAAAGUCCCUUUCUCGGUAAAUUUGGGAUCAGCUACGUUCCUUUUUCAUUCAUUCUGCUCACUGGUAGCUCUAUACUGAAAGAUCUAAAACUACAAGCAACUUUGCCAAUGCUAAUCUACUCGUCAUUCUCUCGACUUAUUCUAUCAAGAUUGUGUCGUUCUUAGAUAUUCAACUAAGAGUUCCGAAAAGAACGUGAAAAUGCAAUGGGAUUAUAGAUAUUACCAUUUAAGGGAUAAUCGAAAAGGGAGACUUGCCCAUCUUUGCAUUGGUCACAGAAAACAUUGCCAGUAAUCAAUCCAUAUCCAUGAACUCCAUGAAUGGCUGCUGCAGCAAUCAGAAAAGCUGUAAAGAAAAUCUCUUGGGACCACUCCAUGAAUUCUGAGAAGCUAAGAAAUAGAAAAGUCUGGGAAAAGAAUGAAUUUUUGGGCUGUAAGAAUGUGAGUAAAACAAUAAUUAUAAGUAGAAAAAGUUCUUACGAGCAGUUCUGCAGUGCAGCUCUCAACUGCCUCAAUUAAUAUGGAAUGGAAAAAAGUGAUUUUGAAUUAAAUAGAAUACGGAAAAUGCAUUUAAGACCGAUUCAAUUUUCUGGAUCCAGCUUCCAUGGUUAAGCUUAAAGUGCAGUUAAUGCAAUUUUCAAUUCUUCUCAUCAACUUGUUUAGCUUGUAAUCUUGUUGAAUACCAAAAACUAAUGGCACCUUUAUCGUAAAAAUGGUUGUCUGGUUAAUUAUUCGCUUCAGGUUCGUCAUUUCAAAUCAGUCAGUGCUACAAGUUUUCACUUGUAAUAGAGACGACAUCUCAAAUACGAAAAUAACCCUCUAUAUUGUCCUUUCUAUAACAAUAAUAUUACGAUAACUUUUACAUGUAGAAAUUUACCCUGCAUAUCAGUAAAAAGGAAUAUUAGGUUGAUCGGAAGUCGACAACAAUCACAUUCUUUAACGAGGUCUAGAAAAACAUUUAGACCAUCAACUUACAGGUGAGAACAAGCAGAAGCAUCCAAGUAUGGCGCCGGAGGCAUUGGAGGCCACCGGGGUAACGGUGGCAAAGGUGGAAGCCAAGGCAAAGGUGGAAGAAGCCUUGCCGGUGGUGCUGGGGCAACCACAGGGCUAGUCGACCUCGGGCAGAAGGGCAUAGGCUGUGCCGGCUGAGAAAGCAAAGGAUCUACUGUGUACAUUUCCAUAUCAAACAUCCGAAACAUUAAUCUUGGGUACAUGGCUGGACCAGCUGCUGCUCCACAGCCUGAAGAUCCUUGUGCAUUCCCUGAAA